GUAUUUCUUCAUGAGUGCAAAUAUUAUAUCAAUAUGAGGAAAGAACUUCACAUGUCAUGUGUAAAAAUGGUUCACCCUUCUUAUUAAGUGAUAUAUCAGAAUUUAAAAGAUUAGUAUCCCAAAACAACUGACUGUGUUCGGAGAAAUUAUCGUAGCAUAUAUUUUAAUGGUAUUCAGGAGAAUAUUUAUUCGAGAAUGCGCUCUGCAAUGAUCUUCACGACACUCUUAUUGUUUAUUUUAAUUAGGAAAGUGAUAUCUGAUUGUGGAGACACUGCUGCUGAU